UACCCCCCAGGUCUGCCGAGGAAAUGUCCUGCCCAAACACAUUUCGCAGCGAUUUCCCCUCACCGUUCCCGCCCGCAUUCUAGAAAGCAGAAAGCAAGCCAGCAACUGCAUUUUGACAACGCAACAAAGUCACACUUCGCGACAUCCGUGUAUUUCAUCCCCCUUUUAUUUGUUUUCGUAAUUCCCCGCACCCCCGUCACCUUCUUCACAAAACACUUCGCCUUCCUCCUCCCGCCGAAAACCCGGCCGCGACCCCAGCCACUCUUGGAUACAGGUGCGGGGGUAGUUACCCUCUUAAGCUUAAAAGCCUCUUUCUCCUCGUAUAUAAAAUCACUUUCAGAUCAUUCUCGUGCUCGCCAGCGUCAUCAAAACCAACCUUUAACUAAUAGCUCCUAAUCCAAACAGUUUGGGCAAGGCGGACCGUUGUUUAGAGUGGCGGGGUACAAGGAGACUGGCCGGGGGGACGCGGGCGGGUCCUCCCCAGCCGGCUCCCACCGUGAUAACUUGCAGUUGACACACACCGAGGUACAAGCGGAGGGUGAGUGGGCAGAGCCGGUCCUGCCAGAAUAUCUUGCCCGGGGGCAAGCUCCGAUGCUCCCGUAGAAAAAGGUUCUGGCUCACAGGAGCCCCUGCGACUUUGACAGCUGUCGCUUUGGCUGCACAGGAGACGAAUCGCCCUCCUUUUGGUGCCAGAAGAAGCAGGAAAUUAGCCAGGUUGCAAGUUGAAAAUCUGCCACGCCAGUGCUUUGAAUCCAAUAUGCCACACCUUCCAGCGGGGGAACUGGAAAUUGCCAUCCCGGAUCUGUGUUCUAGGCGGCUGCUUAUGCCGAACCUCCGCACACUUUGUUCACUAUUGCCUUACAAAGAACAAAUGAAAUGGGGAUUGAAAGCCAGAGAGAUCCGAAGCAGGACAGAGCUCAGCAAAAGAAUGCGGCUCUAUUCUCGCAAGGGAAAUUAUAAAAAAGUUCAUGUUCACGGUUACCAUCCACAUGACCGACAACGACCAAUGGAAAAACCGAACAACUCAUAAAGUUGUAUUGCAAAGUUGUAAAUUUUCAUAAACAACAACGGAUUUAUGGCCUUUUCCUCAUCACUAAGAAGAGGCAGGUCUUAGAGAGGCGCCAUCUUACCGAAGAGGCAGCCCUAGAGUUUUUUAAAAGACCUGGACUUUGUACUAAUUUUAUUAAAAUUACAAUUAGUACAUUGACCAGGAACGGAGUGUAGUAGAAAAAGGGAACUUCAGCGCAAAUGAUGCUCUGUUUCUACCUGUAUUUAUCCAGCCGAAUAAAGGGAGUUUUCGGGCUAGAUUUUUAAUUUUUAAAUUUUUUUUAAUAUUGAAAAUAUUAGAUCUCAUUGACAUUACGUGAUAUCUAAAGCAGGGGGAUUUUCCCCCAUUUUCUUGCCACCGUGAUGCCCUCCGUCCCCCGAAAGCCGCACGAACAAACAACACACAUACCCGACCAGAUCAUUUACACUUGGAAGUUUUGCAUUGCACUUUCUGUUCAUUACAAAAUAUUAUUUCACCGUAUGCGAUUUCGGCUUGAUCGCCGAUCGCCUGGGCUGGGGUUAUGACUGCAAGAGGACACGGGAACACGGUAGAAGGAAGCCCUCCCAUAAAGAAGGCUUUCCGCUUUAUUAAUCAGCUGCGCUAGGGAAAAAAAAUAGAGAAAUGGACUAAUUUGUGUCAAUUCAUCACCUUGGAUUUUUUCCCCCUCCUGAUUAUCGAGGGGGGGGGGGAAGGAAGGUUUAGAUGGCCUAAUUUCUUUAUUUGUCUGUGUAAGUAAUUUUUUUAAGCUUCCUUCGAACUGGUUCCUUAAUAAAGAAAUACAAUUCAUUGUCAACAAGCAUAUUUAUUUUCUGUGUAACAUAAAACACAUUUAUCGUGGGAGAUAAUUGAACACGGUAUCACUUCCAAAGAGAGUUCACAGACAUUUUUUUUCCCACUUCCAAUACUUACACGGCAUAUCCAAAUGUUCACAACGAACACAUUGAAACACAUUGUAACAUACAAUUUUUGAAUAAACUUUAGCCAAACCUUCAAGACGGAUUUAUACAGAGUUCUUAACAAUACAUCAUGCUACAAAGUUUCCAAAUUACAUACUUUCCAAUUUAUGACAUGAUCUUACAAAUGAGCUCCAAGACGAAUAUAAAUGACAAAAAAAAAAUACAAUAUCUGCUAUUUUAAGAAAAUUCACGGUAUUACAUAUUAACAUAUUUGGAUAAUCAGGACUAAUAUUUUGUGGGGGUUUUCUUAAGGUGAUUUUUAAAGGUUCAAAGAACACUUUCCGCUAUAUUAAGAUCAACCCAGAAUAAGAAAAUGGCCUUUAGCAGAGGCAGCCGAAGGUAGAAACCAACGGGAGAUAUUAAACCGCUUUGUACAAUAUUGGUGUGUGUUUGCUUCCUCACUCGGAAUAGUAAAGAAUCGAGAACAAAGAUAUAUUGCAGCAUAUGGUUUUCAUUUAUAAUUGCUUAGGAAUAAAUAUAUUAUUUUAAAUUUAAAUAUAAUCAGACUUUUCGGUACCAAAUUCUAUACCAAAGCUAUUGAUGCGUGCUUUUCGAAUGACUACACUUACAUUUCUAAAAGCAUUUUGCGAUUCACAUUAGUAAUCUUGUAACAUCCUUUUGACUACUAAAAUACAGUAUACUUUCGAAGAUAGGUAGGCAGAGCAAGAUAUAUAGGUAGGUAGUCUGGAAAAUAGGUAGUACAAAUAAUUGCUGUAGAUUGUAGUGGUUUGUGGAACAUUUCCCCCCCACACACACACUUGCUGUUUAUCUUUUGUAAAUGUAGCUGUUAGUUAUGAUACUUUCCUAACAACAAUUAAAAAAAAAAGAGAAAACAAAAAGAGAAGUGCAGAGCUACUUAUUCAAAAUUAGGUAGUUUUUCUUAAUGUGAGCCUAAUGCACUUUUCCCCUUACACAUGACUGAGACUAUUGAAUCAGGUAGUUACUUCGGAAGGUCACGGUUUGCUAUCUGUGCAAGUAGCAGUUCUCCCACUGAAAUGUCCCCUGGAGACACCCACCCAGUUUUGGGUAAAUGAAGAAAAAAAACAAAAAACAAAAACCACGAAACAACUAAACCCAAAUGAUUGUAGGAUGCUCUUAGGGUAUACUACCAAAAGGUUCGGCACAGGGUAGGUUUGGGGAGUACGGGAGAACAGAGAGGAGGCUGGAAAGCCAUCCCAAGAAAUGUUUUCAUGUUUGCAAAUGCUCGCUUGCAAUAUGAUUAUUAAAGGGAACUGAUUUUUUUUUUUUU